rnacentral:lncRNA from 1 species
GAUAUUUGCCUACUCAAAAACAAGAGACAAGAAGGGAGAAAAUGGAAAAAGAAGGUCUAUCUUUUUCAAUGAAUCUUGAAUGUACCAAAGAAAGAUUCAACUUUAAUAUCCAAUUAAAUGUAUGUGGAGUAAUCAUGAAAUUCAUAAAAGAAAUUAUUAAAUGUAUUAAAGUGCUGCUUUCACUUAUUAUAUGAAGGAAAAAAAAGACAUCCGUUCCACAGCAAAGGCUUUAAGACCUUGGAAAAUGUAUGGAAUAUUAGUGGUUUCUCUUCGAUGUGGCACUAUAAACUAACGCAUAUAUCUAAAUUUCACCCUUGAAUUCUGUCUCUGUUCAUGUGAGCUUUUCCUAACUUUUGUCAUUUCAAAGGGAUUUCUCCCAUUUCUGAACUCCUUUACUAGUCAGACCCUUCAGGACUCAUCUGACAGUGCAGAUAAUCUUUUCAAAUGUGCCUCACUAGUUCAGGUCGAUUAUAAACUCAGAGGAUGCCAGUGUCCUGCCUAAACCCCUAGAUACUUGUCUGGCCCCGCCCCACUCCACUCCACCCUCGGGGUUUAUUGAAUCUGAAAGGACUUCUCCGAGCUCUUGGCCAGAAUGACCUUCGGCGUGCUUACACUUGAAUCCCUGGACAGCCCUGCUAUGGGCCUGUAUUGGAGGGGGCAGCUAAAAGAGACUUGGAGGGGAGUCCGGACCGUCGGACUCUACGGGAGGCCAAACGAGUGCACAGCCACAGCGCGACCUAAAGGAAGAAGAGGCCCAAAUUGGUCCAAACCGAGGACCUUGCCCAUGUCCUAGGGCGGACCAGGACCUCGCGCGCCUGCCCAGGGCUCUUUCCCUCCCACGCCUACUCCUUCUCACACCCCUCCCCCUUCGCUAGCGGUUCAACCGCCCGCCGAGCCCCGCCCUCUCCAGGUUGCUUCCACCCUUCCCCCUCCCGCUCUCGUUCCAAGCAGGCGCAUUAGAACGCAAGGCUCCGAAUCCGGCCAAGAGGGGCUGCGGCUGGAAAGACUGUGGAGCACCAGAGUGCGGGCUUCCGGGGGCGUCUCCCGGUGCUGUGGCUUCCUCAGUCUUUUAAUACAGACACUUGGUUAUCACAUAAUCAUUCAUUUGGAAAGGCAUUCAUUGGCCAGCGAUAAAAGAACUGAAACAGGCAGGGGAAAUAAGAAAACUUUGUUCCUGAUCCUCCAUGGUACUUUGGACAAUGAAAUCCAUGUGAAGAUAAUGUCUCCCAUCUCUUUAAAGAGAUCAAAACUUCUCCCUGAAUCUUUCUAUGUGGCAGCACAGAGAAGGUGGAAGCCUGUUUUUUGGUUUGGUUUGUUUUUUUUGCAUUAAUCACACAGGUAUGCAUACAUAGAAUUGAAGAGGAGAGGACACAAUCAGUACACAAACAAUGUGAGUUUUAACAAGCAACACAGAGAGCCUCCUAUCUCUUCCCUACUUUUUCUUAGGGUGGAGUAUCAUUGAAUAUUUUAAAAAUAUACUUGCGAAUAAAUCUAAGAACUAGAAGUAGAAAACA